GUGAAAACUAAACAACAGUUACGUAAAUUUGAGAUUUCCCUUUCUUAACUUUAGUAACCGACUACAUCUCCUCCUCUCCUUUCACUUUCAAUGUCAAAUACUCAGAGUCUCAAUCUUUUCCCUAUAAAUUUCUGAGGAGGACUCAGGGUAUGGUGAUGCUAAGUUAACAUUUACACCACUCAACAACCAUAAAUGCCUUGCACUUUGUAAUGUUAAAGAGAUAAACGAGGGUGCGAGAAAAGAAGAUAUUAUAGAGAAGACAAAAGCAGAAGGAUGACCGCGGAAGCAGCCCACGCGCAUGGAAGUCUGCGGCAGUGAAGGGAUAACUGAUCUGAGGCCCUCAAUCAAACAAAAACUGAAUAGAAUGUGAAGUUGAAACAUGGAGUUUAGUCAUAAAAUUGAUAUCAGGAAAUCUGAGAGGAAGAAGGAGUGAACCCUCCAAUGGAAGAGAGAAAGGCACCAUACAGGAAUCUCUCUGAUCUCUCUAAUUUUUCUAUAUCUCUAAUCUCUCCUUUUCUUUUGAUCCUUUCACUUUCUAAAUUUAUUAUUUUACAGCAAUUUUGUAAACAUGAUGAUGACACCAUACAGGAAUCAACCAUUGUCAUCACUUUUACCCUUCAAACUUCAGGUACAUGUCAAGUUACAAGCAUGUUAAGGCAAAGUAUUCAUUGACCAUUGGAGCUCAAUGCAACACGUGUUUGUUUUGAUUCAUUGUGGUUGAUCAAAUUCAUCUCUAUUAUUGGAUCAUUAUUGUUUUUUCUUUUGUAUUUUUUUCUAUAGGUUGUUACUAUGAGAAUUAAGGAUUGGAAAUUAUGUAGAUUGUUUAUAUUGGACUGCACAAUCUCAUGGCCUAGGAUCCUUGGAACAAAAUGCACAAGCAGCAGUCAACAAUCAAGACAAUAGCAAUAGGAAAGACGAACACAAAAUGCAAGAGAUAGAAUAUAAAUAAAGCAUUUUGAGUAUUUAAAAGAACAGUCAUGUGUACAUUUGUGUUAGAAUCAAAAUUGUACAAAGAAGAUUGGUAAAAUAUAUACACUUAAGUGCAAUAAGGAGAUGACAAAGACCCAAAUGAAUCAUAGCCGAGUGGGGAUGGAUAGCUCACUUAGUUAAGUUAAAGGAU
rnacentral:lncRNA from 1 species